rnacentral:rRNA from 1 species
GACGAACGCUGGCGGCGUGCUUAACACAUGCAAGUCGAGCGGUAAGGCCCUUUCGGGGGUACGACGAGCAGCGAACGGGUGAGUAACACGUGGGUGACCUGCCCUCAGCUCUGGGAUAAGCCCGGGAAACUGGGUCUAAUACUGGAUAUGACUCCAUGACGCAUGUUGUGGGGUGGAAAGCCUGUGCGGCUGAGGAUGGGCCCGCGGCCUAUCAGCUUGNGGUGGGGUGAUGGCCUACCAAGGCGACGACGGGUAGCCGGCCUGAGAGGGCGGACCGGCCACACUGGGACUGAGACACGGCCCAGACUCCUACGGGAGGCAGCAGUGGGGAAUCUUGCGCAAUGGGCGAAAGCCUGACGCAGCGACGCCGCGUGAGGGAUGACGGCCU